rnacentral:lncRNA from 1 species
GAACCGGAACCGGAACCAGGACUGGGAAAAUCCGGAACCGGGGAGAAUCCAGAACUGGAACCGGGACCAGGGAAACUCCGGCACGGGAACUGGGACCUGGACCUGAACUGGGACCAGGCAAAAUACGGAACCGGGACCGGGACCGGGACUGGGAAAGAACCAGAACCAGGACUGGAACCGGAACCGGGACCAGGGAAAAUCCGGAACCGGAACUGGAACCAGAACCGGGACCAGGGAAACUCCGGAACUGGAACUGGGGACCUGGACUGGGGCCAGGGAAACUCUGGAACUGGAACUGGGACUGGGACACAGCCAGAACCAGGACUGGAACCAGAACCGGGACUGGAACCGGAACCGGAACCGGGACUGGAACCGGGACUGGGGAAACUCCAGAACUGGAACUGGGACCAAGAAAACUCCGGAACCGGAACUGGGACCUGGACUGGGAAACAACUGGAACUGGAUUCCUCUGGAACCAGACCGGGACCGGAACCGGGACUGGGAAACCUCCGGAACCGGGACCGGGGCCCCCCCCGGGCCGGUGGGGCAGGAGGGGAAAGGACUCGGGGACGUUUCCGUGCCCGCGGUUUGGGGGGGGCCCAGGACCCCCAGAUCCGUUCCAGCCCCCCCCCCCAAAUCCAUUCCGGACCCCCAAAAAUCCAUUCCGGACCUCUGAAAUCCAUUCCAGACCUCCAGAAUCCAUUCCAGCCCCCCCAAAAUCCAUUCCGGACCCCCCGAAUCCAUUCCGGACACCCCAAAUCCAUUCCAGACUUCCCAAAUCCAUUCCAGACUUCCGAAAUCCAUUCUGGACCCCCAAAAAUCCAUUCCGGACCACUUUGAAUCCAUUCCGGACACCCCAAAUCCAUUCCGUACCUCUGAAAUCCAUUUCAGACCUCCAGAAUCCAUUCCGGACCUUUGGAAUCCAUUCCUGACCCAGGGAAUCCAUCCCGGGCCACCCUGAAUCCAUUCCAGACCUCUGAAAUCCGUUCCAGCCCCCCCAAAAUCCAUCCCGGACCCUCGGCUGACCCCUCCCCUCCCCCGCUCCGCUGCUCGGGACCCCUCCGGUGUCACCGGGGGGGACAAAAAUUGGGGAAAACGACCCCAAAAUCUCCUGGGGGGGGUGUCCCGCCCCUCCCCCACAGUAAAGACCCUCCAUGUCCGCCGGCCGCAGUGGGAUCUGUGCCCCUCCCCCUCCCCAAAAAACAAUUUGGGAUUUUGGGGAGGGGUCGCGGUGGGGGAGGGGUCGUGGUGGGGGAGGGGGGGUGGGCACAGCGCUAAAACCGCCCCUCCCCCCCCCCCAUAAAUGAAACCGGGCUGAAUUUUAGGGGGUGGGGGCGGGGCCUGGGGGUUUUGGGGGGGUCUUUUCACCCCCUCCCCCCACCCCACCCCCAUAAAAACAUUUCGGGGAGGGGUCGCGGUGGGGGAGGGGUCGCGGUGGGGGAGGGGGGGAUGGGCACAGCGCUAAACCCGCCCCUCCCCCAUUAAAUCGAACCGGGUUAAAUUUUGGGCGGUGGGGGCGGGGCUGGCGAGGCGGGGGCGGGGCCUGGGGGUGGGGGGGGGUCUGUCCGCCCCCUCCCCCUCCCCAAUUCCCCCUCCCCUCCCCCCCCCGGGGGUUGAACUUCCUGGGUCAGCGCCGCCGCCUUCCCAUUGUCCGAGCGGCGGCGGCGGCGGGGGCGGCCCGGGGGUCGCGGGACCCCCCCCGGCUCCUCCGGGGCUGUUUUUGGGGCGUUUCGGGUUUUUUGGGGUUGGUUGAUUUUGAUUUUUAUUUUUUUGGGGGCGUUUCGGGUUUUUUGGGGUUGGUUGAUUUUGAUUUUUAUUUUUUUGGGGGCGUUUCGGGUUUUUUGGGGUUGGUUGAUUUUUAUUUCUAUUUUUUUGGGGGCGCGGCGAUGUCGCCGAAGCGCUGGAGGGGUG